AGAGAUGUGUGAUGACGCAUAUCAAUAAGCGGAGGAAAAGAAACUAACAAGGAUUCCCUUAGUAACGGCGAGUGAAGCGGGAAGAGCUCAAAUUUGAAAUCUUCAAGGUUCUACCUUGACGAAUUGUAGUUUAUAGAAGUGUUUUCUGUUAGUAGAGUGGCAAAAGUUCUUUGGAAUAGGACAUCAUAGAGGGUGAGAAUCCCGUAUUUGGUCAUUCUUUCUAGCUUUGUGAUACACUUUCAACGAGUCGGAUUGUUUGGGAAUGCAGUCCAAAAUGGGUGGUAAAUUUCAUCUAAAGCUAAAUAUUGGCGAGAGACCGAUAGCGAACAAGUACCGUGAGGGAAAGAUGAAAAGAACUUUGAAAAGAGAGUUAAACAGUACGUGAAAUUGUCAAAAGGGAAGCGUUUGACACCAGUGUUGUUUUUCCGAAAAUCAAUUACGAAUGUUUUGUUUUUAAGAAGUUAUGACUUCAUCGGCUUGCUUCUUUCUUUACGAAACUUUCUUAAUGCACUUUUCGGUUAACAAGUCAACAUCAAUUUCUUUUGUUGUAAAAGGGUAUGAGGAAGGUGGCUUUCUUUUCGGAGAAAGUGUUUAUAGCCUUGUACCUCUGCAAUCGGAGAGAUUGAGGUCUGCAGCGUAGAUCCUUCGGGGUUAGAUACGUUUGUGCUAAGUUAUAGCUUUUCAUAGACAACUUGUUGACUAUGUUUAGUCUUGUAGCUUACUCGCUUACGCUAUUUUACCUACGCUUAGGAUGUUGAUAGUCACAGCGUGUAC
rnacentral:rRNA from 1 species